ACCGGCAGCCAUAUCACCCUGUAGCCCAAGACUAGUUGCCCACUGAAGCUAAGCAGGGCUGAGCCUGGUCAGUACCUGGAUGGGAGACCUCCUGGGAAAACUAGGUUGCUGCUGGAA
rnacentral:rRNA from 1 species